AUGGCGUCGGCGUCGCGGCUGCUGCCGCCCUUUCCCCCUCCAGCUGCCCCAACAUCUCGCCACACAACUCUCCGCGCCGUCCCUCGCAGCUGCAGCCUCGCCAUCCCGAGCCUCCGGUGCCGCGCCUCCGCUCCAGCGGCCGUUGACGCUGGCUCGCCGCUGCUGCUCGAGGACCGCGCCGGCGCGGUGUCCAUCCGAGAGUUUGUCACGCUCGAUGAGCUCCACGCCGCCGUGCGCCUCCGCGUUCGCACCUUCUACGAGUACGCCCGCGACACUGUCGGCGCCGAGGAUCACAGGAAAGGUCUGGCAGAGAGGGAAUAUGAAGCAUUACAAAAUCGGAUUUCUGGGAAUAUGAUUAAUUUUCGGAGAGUCUCUUGUAUAAAUGGGACAGUGCCACUGUUGCCAUCGUUGAUGUCAGCAGAGGAGCUUUGUUCAACAUGCAAGUUUAUUGAAGAUGGGGAAGAGAGAAUAGUAGUUGGUAGUUUAGACCUGAAUCAGUGCCUCUGGCUACCAGAUGAACUGACUGGAAAGAGGCCAGGGGUAACUGAAUCAAGCCAUACACGGGCAUAUCUGAGCAAUGUAUGUGUUGCCAAGGAGCUCCAAAGAUGCGGACUGGGCUAUGCAUUGGUUGACAAGUCUAAGAAGCUUGCUCGUCAAUGGGGCAUAACGGAUUUGUAUGUCCAUGUUGCCAUCAACAACGAGGCGGCACAAAAGCUGUACAUCAAGAGUGGAUUUGUGUACGAAAGUGAGGAGCCUGCCCAGCAGGCUAGGCAUCUUGGGCGCCCUCGAAGGCUUCUUCUUUGGCUUGAUAUGAAGAACGAAACCUUGUGA
rnacentral:rRNA from 1 species